GAAAGAAUUGAUGUUACUCUACUGAGAAGAUGCCGACAUUACAUUAACCCACACGGAACUUGACAUUUCGUCGCGUCCAGAUGGAGCAUAUAUACCAGAAUUGUUGGACCAUUCGUGCAAUGGUCCAAUGGAAGGCACAAAUCAAAGAGAAUUCCAUGGGAAACAUAUACCUUCAAUGCAUACUACUGGAUCAGGAAGGGACAAAAAUGGAAGCCAUUGCGUUCAACAAUCAAGCUGUUCGUUUCAACACCAUUCUUCAAACCGGCAUGUCCUAUGAAUUCACUCGUGUAGGAUUUAACCCCACUGAAAUGGCAGUUGUACAUUUCUUGUAUCUAGACAUGGAGUUUAUCAUGACACUAGAUAGUAGGACUGUGGUUAUGAU